GAGGCUGUAGCUCAGUGGUAAAGCGCUUGCCUCGCAUGCAUGAGGCACUGAGUUCAAUCCUCAGCAUCACA
rnacentral:tRNA from 1 species